ACUACAUUCUGCUCUCGGAAUUGCUCUCCUGCUUUUUAAUUUUCCCCAGGAAGGAUACCACCGUUGUGGUCUAAGCCAUGAGUGCUGGUGGGGACAGACCUGCCUUAAGAUCCAGCGUGGGACUUCCCUGUGCAAGCCAGGAG
rnacentral:lncRNA from 1 species